GACGAACGCUGGCGGCGUGCUUAACACAUGCAAGUCGAACGGGAUUUAGUAAACAGAAACCUCGGUGGAAGAUUACUAAUGAGAGUGGCGAACGGGUGAGUAACGCGUGAGCAACCUGCCUAUGACAGUGGGAUAGCCUCGGGAAACCGGGAUUAAUACCGCAUAAAAUCGUAGAAACACAUGUUUUAACGGUCAAAGAUUUAUCGGUCAUAGAUGGGCUCGCGUCUGAUUAGCUAGUUGGUGAGAUAACAGCCCACCAAGGCGACGAUCAGUAGCCGGUCUGAGAGGAUGAACGGCCACAUUGGAACUGAGACACGGUCCAAACUCCUACGGGUGGCAGCAGUGGGGAAUAUUGCACAAUGGGGGAAACCCUGAUGCAGCGACGCCGCGUGAACGAAGAAGGUAUUCGUAUCGUAAAGUUCUGUCCUAUGGGAAGAUAAUGACAGUACCAUAGAAGAAAGCUCCGGCUAAAUACGUG
rnacentral:rRNA from 1 species